rnacentral:rRNA from 1 species
UACGUAGGGGGCUAGCGUUGUCCGGAAUCAUUGGGCGUAAAGAGCGUGUAGGCGGCCCGGUAAGUCCGCUGUAAAAGUCAAAGGCUCAACCUUUGAAUGUCAGUGGAUACUGCCGGGCUAGAGUCCGGAAGAGGAGAGUGGAAUUCCUGGUGUAGCGGUGAAAUGCGCAGAUAUCAGGAGGAACACCGGUGGCGAAGGCGGGUCUCUGGGCCGAUACUGACGCUGGAGGAGCGAAAGCGUGGGGAGCGAACAGG